UACGUAGGUGGCGAGCGUUAUCCGGAUUUACUGGGUGUAAAGGGCGUGUAGGCGGGUGUUCAAGUCGGAUGUGAAAAGGCAAGGCUCAACUUUUCUCUGUCAUCCGAAACUGGAUAUCUUGAGUGUCUGAGGGGAAAGCGGAAUUCCUGGUGGAGCGGUAAAAUGCGUAGAGAUCAGGAGGAACACCGGCGGCGAAGGCGGCUUUCUGGCAGACAACUGACGCUGAGGCGCGAAAGCGUGGGGAGCAAACAGGAUUAGAUACCCUGGUAGU
rnacentral:rRNA from 1 species